rnacentral:lncRNA from 1 species
UAAAACCUUAAAUUAAUAAAUCUACCACAAACAUAAAAAGUUAACAAACAAAAAAUCAAAAAUAUGUCUCGAACAAUGUUCAAAUAACACAUAACAUGUUCAAAUAACAAGUUCAAAUAAAAAUAAAUCAUAAUCCCAAUUACUCCUCAGUUGCUUGUUCUUGUUGAGCUAGUAUUGGCCUACCAAAUCAACCUCCACCUCUUGCACUUCCUCCUCAUCAUAAUUUUCCAUUCUUCACAAAAAAAUCAACAUCACAGCAGCAACAAAUCAACACAACAGCAGCAACAAAUAAAAAGAACCUGAUGCUCAAUAAUUCUACUAACUAAUAUCAAUUGUACGCACAGAGAACAAUAUAUGUGCAAGAAUUGAUUCCCAUAUUCAUUGAUAAAUAUAGACUCCUUAAUUAAUGCACCGAAUCAGUGUACAAUUUGAGCAAGUAGCUGGCUAGGUAAAGUUGUAUAGUCAAAAUUUCAUGAAUUAAAAGUAGUAAAUAACAAAACAUCUGUAAAGGUGGCUUUAAGUUCUUUUAUUAGUUUUCUUAUUUUCCAAAGAUCAGAGAUCCCUGGAGAAUGUUAAACAUCAACUUACAACAAGCCAUCACAACACAUACACAAUAAAUUUAAAUCAAAGCAGAAUAAGUUGAAAUCACAAGGCACAACCAAAUGAAUAAUUUGCAUUCCAGCAAAAUUUAAGUUCGAAAAAUGAAUUAAGGCUGCGAUACACAGCCUGCUGGGGAAAGUGGCCCUUCUAUGUUUCCCAUCACGUGGUGAAAAGAAAAAGAAAAAAAAAAGAGAAAGAAAUGAAGAAUCAACUCACAAGUUGUAGCUUUGUGGAGAUCACGAUAUUUCCAGAUGACAGCGGCUGCGGCGACGAGCAGCAGUGACG